rnacentral:ribozyme from 1 species
AGCCUAGAUACUUCUAUCCUUACCUCCUCAUGGUACUGGCUAGGUACGAGUAACCUUAGAGAAGAUCGGGUAACCAACCCCCGGUGGGAACUUUGGUCGUAUGCUGACAGGGAAGG